GAAAUGCGAUAAGUGUUGUGAAUUGCUGAAUUCAGUGAAUCAUCGAAGCUUUGAACGCACAUUGCGCCCGCGUGUAUUCUGGCGGGCGUGCCUGUGCGAGCGUCGUUGCAAGCAUCAAGCUUUAAGCUUGUGUUGGAGCCCUGCGGCUGUCCGCAGGCCCCUAAAUACAGUGGCGGGCUCGCUAUCACACCGAGUGCAGUAGUUUUCUUUCUCGCUCAGGGCGUGUAGUGGGUGCUCGCCGUGAAACCCCUUUUUCACAAGGUUGACCUCGGAUCAGGUAGGAAUACCCGCUCAACUUAA
rnacentral:misc_RNA from 1 species